AACUUCUUAUUUACAAAAUUAUUUACUUCUUUGUAAGAUAUCAUGUAAACAUUUUUUUGGUACAGCUCCAACCACAUAUGAGUACUUAUUUGUUAAAUUUUUUGUAGAAAAAACUUCAAAGAAAUUUAAUAUGAUUGAGUUAUGAAUAAGCUCACAUAAAGAAUUAAGAUAUGAUUUUUUUCAAAACUUUUUAUUCCUAUUCAAUGUUAGAUUCUUAUCCAAAUUUAACUUCAUCAAAUAUUUGGAUGGAAUUUGGGGAGAAAAGAAAUAGUAGGGAUUAAUAAUGAGAAAAUAGAAAUGUAUAUGGGAUACUACUUUACCUGAUUGAGAAAUUUUACACUGAAAAUAAAAUUGUUGGAUUUGGUGUUCUUGGUCUGAAGUUGUUAACUGGAAAGUUUUAUGGAACUUUGCACAUGGGAGCUUUGUUUAUAUAAACAAAAAACCCUAGACCCAAAAAUCAAAGGGUUCCAAUCUUUCUUUUAAUCUAUUAAUUCUCUUUUCUUCUCCACCCAUUCAUCUUAUUUCUUCAAUUAUCAAUUUCUUAGGAGAAUGGCCGAAGAGAGCUUGCGCAUCCUUUGUUUUUGUCUUGCAAUUGUUGUUUGUCACCAGGUAACCCGUGCUUCCUUUCCUCGUUGGGUUUGCUUUUUAAUUGUAAUUACCUAAGACUUAACUCUGUUUGAAUAUGCUUUGUUUGGUUUAUAGAAUUGAAGAUGCAACUGUGUUUGAAUAUAUAUGUGCUCUAUUUGGUUUAUAAACAAAAUAAACCUAAACUUAAGGCGGGUAUAGGCUUUACCUGUUGUGUCAAUGUCAUGUUAGUUCAUACUAUGCUUUUACUCCUCUUGUUGAAAUGUCAAGUUCGGAUCCCAUUACAUUUUGUAUGAUAUUUUCAGGCUAUUAAAUUUUUACAUAGAUAAGCUAAGCUGUACCAUGUAGAGUAAAGUCCAUGUCCUUUUGAAACCUUUCACCUGGACCAGAACCAUUCUAACUAAUGCAGCAUUUGGAUAUUCAUGAAUGGAAUUUGUGUGGAAACUCUGUUCGUUCUGUUUUUUUAUUCUUAAAUGUAUGAUACCUUUUAAAAGAGCACGCAACCUUGAUGGUCAUAUAUUUCGAUGUAAUUUUUAAUCUUUUGUUUAAUUUGUUAAUUACCCGAGGAUUUAGCAGUGUGGGCAAUAUUUGUCAGUUCUAUAUCCACUUUUGUGUGAUAAGUUAAUGUUUGGUAGUUAUGGGUGUUUUAUGCAGAAGGUAAAAUUGAAGCUCCACCAAACCACUCAUCUCAUACCUUACUUUUCUGAAUACAUGGCUAGAUCACACACCGAAUUUAAUCACUGAUAUUUAAGUCAGGACAUUAGUAAUGCGUGCAACAAUCAUAUUAUUUGAAAUAAUAGACAGGAAAACAUCCAAUUAUAUUUCCUUGUUCAGACCAAAUGUGGAUAACAUUAACUUUCCACACCACUGACUUUUUCUUGACUUAAAACCAGUUUAGAAAAUAUGUACUGAUUGUUUUGCCCUCCACUCUUUCCUCGCUACAAAAAGUGCUGUAUCAAUAUUAUAUGAAUUUAUUUAAAUAGUUUAAUACAUUUCUUGAUUGUGGAAUAUCUAAGAUAAUUUUUUAUUCAUAUAUAGAAAAAUGAAUUUUCUCCAAGUAGGUUUGAUAGUGCCAAUAUCAUGGUUCUAUUAUUCAUUAGUUUGGUUAUGUGGAAAACUUCAAUGCCUCGAUGACAAAGGGCAGGAACACAAAUAUGGAAUUCUUGUCAUUUAAUGAUGCAAUGUUGUUCUUGAGUUUUGGAGAUGAUUGAUGGAGGCAGCGGAAGACUUGUAGAAGAUGGAGGUGUGCACCGAGAAUGGGUUUUGGAGGGAGAAGAGGAAUGGACCGUGCUAGGGCCAAGGAAGAGGUUUUCCUUGAGUUUCUACUAUGCCCGAGACCAUAUUAGGAGAGAAUUGGAGAGAGUUUUAGAAAACAAUUUCAUUAAUCCAAGUCUAAGGAAUACAAUGAGAGAAGAUUUAACUUGAGGACCAUUACUUUACUACAACAGAUCCACUAUCCACAACUAAAGAACAUGUCUUGUCCAAAACUUUACAUCUUGUGUGAAAUAGAUUCUCCUGUUGUGAUUGUUCCAGAUUACUAGAAUGGUUACCAAGUAGUCUUUUGACUAUGAAACAUUUCUCACGAAAAGAAUUUUGCAUCAGUUAAGAUCAAAUAAAAAGGAAUGAAUUGAUGUUAAAUGGUUCUAAGAUAUGGAAAUUAAGUCUAUUGGAUAAUAACGUUUUUUUGUAUACGUAAUUGGGAUGGUAAAGGCCUAUAGUUUUCAUAAUUAGAAAAACAUACCUAGAUUUUGGAAUUGUGGAUGUGAUGUUUGAAUGAGUUGUGAAAAUCUUUAUUUUAAUUAAAUAUAAAUUGUUCGGUUAUGAUGCGUCCAACAACAUACAUGUUUAGUAUCACUAUGUCUAUAUAGCUGUGGUGCAGAGACACAUAUUUAAAGCCAGUUAAGUUUUAAAACUGAUUAUAAAACUAGUUCAGUUUUAAAAAUGAUUCUAAAAUAGUUUAUUUAUUCACUCUAUUGAAAGAAUGGAACUUGAGAUCCUCACCUUUGGUAUGACUUGUAUUUAUAUAUGAUAAAAGAUCGGUGAGUUGUUGCACUCAACUGAUGUUUAUUUAUAUUUAUAUAUGUUGGAGAUCCUACAUCGACUAGAGAUUAGGACACUGAAUGCAAACCUUACCUUAUGAGCCGAUUUUAUGAAGUUAAGUUAGACUUAAAAUCCGCUUCUUAAUAAUAUAUAUAUGAAAAGGGAAGAGUACAAUGCGAGGAAAAGUUAUACCAUCUAACACUCAACCCUUAGGCUAGGUACAUACACCCAAAAACAACUGUAUGAAAGUUGUGCAAUAAAGUAACAAUCAUAACUUUAGCACUCCUCUUCAAGCUAGAGCAUAUAAAUUGUAUAUAAAUUGUAUGUGCCAAGCUUGGAAAAUAUAAACUGAAUUAUAGUCCCUCUCAAGGACUUGGAUAUAAAAUUUGUAAGUUGAACAAUGAAGUUGAGUACUGAGUUCCUUGGACAAUAGUGUUUCCCUGAUAAAAUGAUAAUCAAUCUCCAUGUUUGCUCCUCUAAUGAAACACAAUAUUGGAGGCAGUAUAAAGGGUUGUUUGAUUAUCAUAAUACAACUUCAUCUGCUCAACUUCACCAAAUUUCAACUCUUGAUGGACUUGUUCACACAAGUGACCAAGGUCAGAUCUAUAAUCAGAUUCUGCACUGGAUUAGGCAACAGCACUUUUGUUUCUUUCCCUUUGAGGAGACAAUAUUCCCUCCAAUGUAUAGACAUUAUCCUGUGGUGGAUCUUUUGUCAAUGAGACAAUCAAUCCAAUUUGCGUCGUAAUACCCUAUAAUCUGAGUAUUUCCUUUGUCCUCAUAUAACAAGUCUCGUUUUGGAGCCUUUUUCAUAUAUAUGAGAAUGUGAAUUAUAACAGUCCAAUGGUUAAUGUGAGGAUUUUGUAUGAAUUGACCAAUAUCUUCGACGAAAUAUCAGGUAUUAUAACUGUGAGACAAAUGAGUUUUACCAUCAGCCUCCAAUAUCUCUGGAUCUGAAAAAAUAAUUCACCGUGGUUCACCAUCAACUUUUGAUUUGGAUCCAUAUGACUAUCAAUAGGCUUACAAUUUGCCAGCCUUUGUCUCCUCUAGAAUGUUAAGAGCAUAUGUUAAGAGAAUGUUAACAGCUUCCUCUGAUUGAAUCACUCCAAUACCCAAAAAGCAUUUCAGGUAAUCAGGAUCGUUUGUCCUCUCUUUCAAGAACACUGUCAAAGUCUCCAUUUCUUUGCUACUAGAUUCCAUCUUAGUUUGCACUUCUUGCUUCAUGGCAGUCAAUCUUUUGAAGAUGUGACUACCAUAGCUAUUUUUGAAUCUUUUUAUCAAAGGCGUGGAAAAUGAUUCCCAAUCUGAAUCUGGGUUGUCUUGGCACCACCAAAGCAUUGCCGCGCCCUCCAUGAUCAUGAAUGUAUAAUGCAGCUUAUUGAAUGAAGGAAUUUCUUUCACCUCAAAAUUUUUAAACCCUAUCAAUCCAACCAAUUGGAUCUGCCCCCACAAAGGCUGGCAGCUUCCCCAUGGUCCAAAUUUGUGCUUCCUCCAUCUCUAAUAGGGCACUUCGAAGACCCGGCAGGUGGGACCAAUUUGUUAAGAACCAAGAAUUGAAAAGAGAAGAAAAGAAAGAUUUUUUAUUGAAUAGUGAAAAGAAUAAGAAAUACAAGAGCACUCUCUCCUCCAAGGGUUUUCCCAUCACAAAGAGUUAAUGCUCAAUCUAUAAAAUUAACAUCUUUCUCUCUCCUCUCCUUCACCGUGUUUGUUAUAGCAAUGUACUCUUUUUUUCCAUGUAUGUAUAUAUGUAAUUACAAUUUGUAAGUAUAAACACAAAAUUUAUUGCUUAUGAAACUAAUCAUAUCUACAACAUUGAUUUUCUCCUUAAUUCUGCAGUGAAGAUGUGAGCGAAGCUUUGACUGAAAUCUUGAAGCUACCUCUGAUGGGCAAAUGCAAUGUUUGCAGCUUCUCUAAUGUGUCUUCAAUUGCUGUCUUUUCAAGUGCCAUUUUUGUUGUCUUCAAUUGCUGUUAUAUAUCACAGUCGCAGACCUUUGAGCAAAAGGGCUUCAAAGCCUGUUAUUAUUUUAGGAUCAGCUUUUAACUUACUUUCCCUUCUUUUCCAUCCAAAUCAAAACAUUUCAUGACAAGAAAACUCCAUGGCUGCUGAGGUUCUAAUUUUUACUGUGUCAAGAAGUACCUUUCAUUUAGUGAACUCUAUCUAUCUUUUUAUAUUGAUUAAAUGGUGUAUGUUAAUUGCUAUAGCAAUUGGUGCUCAAAAUGUUGUGAGGAAAUAAUGCAACUAUUUUUGUUUGGGGAAUGUAAAUUGGCUGAAGUCCUGUAUAAUUGGAUGUUAAUUAUUGUUGUCCGAUGAUUAAAACGUGACUAUUGUUGUUUGCAAUAGGUAAGGUUUUUUGCAAGCGGCAUCUGGGAAUGUAAUAAUAGCUUAUGAACAAGAAGUUUGUAGUCUUUAAUAGCUGCUACGUUAGUUUUUUUGUUUAUUUCUUGUUGAAACUUUUCCAAUUCUAGACUCUCUGGGACCGGAAAUAGAGAAUAUUUAUCUAAUUUACUAUUUUCUUCUAUUGGCAUACUGGC
rnacentral:lncRNA from 1 species